CGCGGCCUAUCAGCUUGUUGGUGGGGUAGUGGCUUACCAAGGCGGCGACGGGUAGCCGGCCUGAGAGGAUGACCGGCCACAUUGGGACUGAGAUACGGCCCAGACUCCUACGGGAGGCAGCAGUGGGGAAUAUUGCGCAAUGGGCGCAAGCCUGAUGCAGCCACGCCGCGUGCGGGAUGACGGCCUUCGGGUUGUAAACCGCUUUCAGCAGGGACGAAACUUUUUGUGUCGGUUCCUGCGGAAAAAUCACCGGCUAUCUACAUGCCACCCCCCGUAGUGAUGCGUAAGGUGCGAGCGUUGUCCGGAUUUAUUGAACGUAAAUGGCUCUUACUGGGUUGAUCGCGCGUGAAGUGGAAACUUGAUGCUUAACGUUAAACGUGCUUUCUCUACCUGUUGACUUGAGGAAAACUGCUUGAAUGGAAUUCCUGGUGGAGGGGUGGAAUGCCGGAUAUCAGGAGGAACACCAGUGGUCAAGGCGGUUCUCUGGACCUUUCCUGACCCUGAGGACCUUAACUGUGGGGAGCGAACAGGCUUAUAUACCCUGGUAGUCCUUACUGACCACGGUGGGUACUAGGUGUGGGGACCAUUCCACGGAUUCUGUGAUGUAGCUCUCUGCUGUGUACCCCGCCUGCGGAGUACGGAAUCUCUGGAGGAUCCGGGGUCACCGAAGUAUAC
rnacentral:rRNA from 1 species